UAGGGAAUAUUGGACAAUGGGCGCAAGCCUGAUCCAGCCAUGCCGCGUGCAGGAUGACGGUCCUAUGGAUUGUAAACUGCUUUUGUACAGGAAGAAACAGUUCUACGUGUAGAACCUUGACGGUACUGUAAGAAUAAGGAUCGGCUAACUCCGUGCCAGCAGCCGCGGUAAUACGGAGGGUGCAAGCGUUGUCCGGAUUUAUUGGGUUUAAAGGGUGCGUAGGCGGUUUAUUAAGUCAGUGGUGAAAGACGGUCGCUCAACGAUUGCAGUGCCAUUGAUACUGGUAGACUUGAGUAUGAUUGAGGUAGCUGGAAUGGAUAGUGUAGCGGUGAAAUGCGUAGAUAUCAAGAGGAACACCUGAGGUGAAGACGGGUUGCUGGGCUGACACUGACGCUGAGGCGCGAAAGCCAGGGGAGCAAACGGGAUUAGAUACCCAGGUAGUCCCUGAGCGGGCUGGCAAGGCGCAU
rnacentral:rRNA from 1 species